AACAGGAGUCAACCAAACGCUGGAUGACGCGAUUCUUUCUGGAGGAUCUGAUCUCAGGGAAGGUCAGAGAAGUUCAGAAAAAGCCUCUCCCUGAGCUACGAGAGACAAAGAGGGACAAGAGACAGGAGGGCAGAGAGACCUUGGUUGUCCUUCAGCUCAGAGCAUUCAGCAAUGCCAAAGCACCAUGCAUUGGGGUAUCAUUCUCCUCUGUACCCCAACAUUGUCAUCUAGAAAGUUCGAUGUUCAGGACCCCAACUUUGUUGAAGCAUCUAAUACUCCCCCAGGCAACCCAGGAGAUCUAGGAGAAGAAGGUUCUGUCUCUUACUUCCAAAGAAUGGACCCUGUUUGGCCUCGGUAAAUGUUAGCAAUCCUCCCCCCACCCCAAUUUUGU
rnacentral:lncRNA from 1 species